AUCUAAGCCGCGUGGCAAGAUGAUACCGGGUUCUGCCCAGCCGGAGCCACAACUCUUUCCCUGCGGACAGUUUUGUGAGCGAAGUGUUUUUAAAAACACUACAGUUAGUGCUCCAUGGCUGUGGUCCCAAGCACUUGGGAGGGAGAAACAAGAGUCUUGUGAGUUCCAGGCCAGCCUGAGCUACAUGAUAAAAUCUUCAAAAUACCCAAGAAUUACAACAAGGGUCCCCAGGUAUACCUAGGUAUAAAAUAGUUGACAUUUUUGGAUCGCCUUUCAGCGACCAAAAAACGUUCUUUUUUUGCUUAAUAAGUCCUUUCUGUUUUGUUUAAAUAAAAGAAAAAUUCCAUGA